rnacentral:rRNA from 1 species
CCUACGGGAGGCAGCAGUAGGGAAUCUUCCACAAUGGGCGAAAGCCUGAUGCAGCAAUGCCGCGUGGGUGAAGAAGGUCUUCGGAUCGUAAAGCACUUUUGGUAGAGAGGAAAGUACUUGAGUUUAACUGUUUGCGCAUCGACGGUAUCUAACCAGAAAGCCACGGCUAACUACGUGCCAGCAGCCGCGGUAAUACGUAGGUGGCAAGCGUUAUCCGGAUUUAUUGGGCGUAAAGGGAACGCAGGCGGUCUUUUAAGUCAGAUGUGAAAGCCUCGGGCUUAACCGGAGUAGUGCAUUGGAAACUGGGAGACUUGAGUGUAGAAGAGGAGAGUAGAACUCCAGGUGUAGCGGUGAAAUGCGUAGAUAUAUGGAAGAACACCAGUGGCGAAGGCGGCCCUCUGGUCUGUAACUGACGCUGAGGUGCGAAAGCGUGGGUAGCAAACAGGAUUAGAUACCCCUGUAGUC